rnacentral:rRNA from 1 species
GACGAACGCUGGCGGCGUGCCUAAUACAUGCAAGUCGAACGCAGUGGGGACGGGUGAGUAACAAGUGGGUAACCUCCCAUCAGAGGGGAUAACACUUGGAAACAGGUGCUAAAACCGAUACUGGUGGAUGGACCCGCGGGGGAUUAGCUAGAUGGUGGGGUAACGGCGCACCAAGGCCACGAUGCAUAGCUGAGCUGAGAGGGUGAUCGGCCACACGGGGACUUAGACACGGCCCAGACUCCUACGGGAGGCAGCAGUAGGGAAUCUUCGGCAAUGGACGAAAGUCUGACCGAGCAAUGCCGCGUGAGUGAAGAAGGUUUUCGGAUCGUAAAACUCUGUUGGUAGAGAAGCGUUAUCUAACCAGAAAGCAACGGCUAACUACGUGCCAGCAGCCGCGGUAAUUC